rnacentral:rRNA from 1 species
AUUGAACGCUGGCGGCGUGCUUAACACAUGCAAGUCGUGCGGUAACAGGCGUAGCAAUACGUGCUGACGAGCGGCGAACGGGUGCGUAAUACAUGGGAAUCUGCCUUUUAGUGGGGAAUAACCCGGCGAAAGCCGGGCUAAUGCCGCAUAAGAUCUUCGGAUGAAAGCGGGGAGUCGUAAGACCUCGCGCUGAUAGAUGAGCCCACUGCCGGAUUAGCUAGNGGUGAGGUAACGGCUCACCAAGGCGACGAUCCGUAGCUGGUCUGAGAGGACGGCCAGCCACACUGGGACUGAGACACGGCCCAGACUCCUACGGGAGGCAGCAGUGGGGAA